AUUGAACGCUGGCGGCAGGCCUAACACAUGCAAGUCGAACGGUAACAGGAAGCAGCUUGCUGCUUUGCUGACGAGUGGCGGACGGGUGAGUAAUGUCUGGGAAACUGCCUGAUGGAGGGGGAUAACUACUGGAAGCGGUAGCUAAUACCGCAUAACGUCGCAAGACCAAAGAGGGGGACCUUCGGGCCUCUUGCCAUCGGAUGUGCCCAGAUGGGAUUAGCUUGUUGGUGGGGUAACGGCUCACCAAGGCGACGAUCCCUAGCUGGUCUGAGAGGAUGACCAGCCACACUGGAACUGAGACACGGUCCAGACUCCUACGGGAGGCAGCAGUGGGGAAUAUUGCACAAUGGGCGCAAGCCUGAUGCAGCCAUGCCGCGUGUAUGAAGAAGGCCUUCGGGUUGUAAAGUACUUUCAGCGGGGAGGAAGGGAGUAAAGUUAAUACCUUUACUCAUUGACGUUACCCGCAGAAGAAGCACCGGCUAACUCCGUG
rnacentral:rRNA from 1 species